rnacentral:rRNA from 1 species
UAAUACCUGCAGCUCAAGUGGUGAUCAUUAUUAUUGGGCCUAAAACGUCCGUAGCCGGUUUGGUAAAUGCCUGGGUAAAUCGUGUAGCUUAACUAUACGACUUCCGGGUAGACUGCCAAACUUGAGACCGGGAGAAGCUAGAGGUACUCCUGGGGUAGAGGUGAAAUUCUGUAAUCCUAGGGGGACCACCAGUGGCGAAGGCGUCUAGCUAGAACGGGUCUGACGGUCAGGGACGAAGCCCUGGGGCGCGAACCGGAUUAGAUACCCGGGUAGUCCAGGGUGUAAACGCUGCUUGCUUGAUGUUAGUUGGGCUCCGAGCCCAAUUAGUGUCGGAGAGAAGUUGUUAAGCAAGCUGCCUGGGAAGUACGGUCGCAAGACUGAAACUUAAAGGAAUUG